CUUUCCGCCGACCACAAAAGCAGAUUGGAGAAGAUUAGCCCUCGCUUGGCCGUGUUCCUGUGUGUCUUGCUGAUCCCCGUUCACCCAGCUCCAGUGUGUGCCCUGCAGCGCUCUGAAGGUGCGGCUCUCUGAAGCUGCUGCAGCAGGACUGAAGUGAGCAGAGGCUUCUCUCUAAAGAGCCCCAGGCGCAGCUGCCUCGCCCCGAGUGAGACCGGAGCACGCCCCCGGCCAGAUGCACACAGCGCCCAGGAAAAGUCAGCUGGAAGA